ensembl:lncRNA
CUAGGAAUUUCCACUUAGUUCUCCUUGAUUUUACUGGACUUACAUCUAAAAUGUACUGCUCUUAGAUAUUGAGAAAUACGAGGUUAGUUCUAUUUUUGCUUCUUUACUGAGAAGAAUAAUUACUAAGGCAUCUCCCAUCAGCAACAUUAUCCACCAGAAUCUAUUUGGUCUGGGACACAGUUGAUUAUUUUUGUGACACUCUAGAUCCUCACUGCUUAUUACCAAUCUGAAUAAAAAAUGAUGCAUACACUGUGAUAUUCAUCUAUGUAUUUGACGUUAAAUUCCACUUCAGUCUAAACAGUGGUGUGAGUCCAAAGAAUCGAAAUAUAUGUAAUAUAUACAUUUCUGAAGCCACCUUAAAACAUGCAAGAUGCUUUACCUCCAACAAAUUUACAUUUACAAUUAAUAUUCUUCCUCUUCUCUCUCUCUUGCAUGCAUUGCCCCUGACUUUAACAAGUGUAGGGAAGAUGAUAUUUGUCUAAGAGCACCAUGGAACAAAACCACUUGAAUUUAAGAAGAAAACAAAAACAUGGAGGGCUUCAGAGAGCUGUGUGUGCUGUGGACCUCCCAGAUGGCUGCCAGCCCCACAGAGAGUGAGGCAGCAGUCCCAACCAGUGGAACACUCUUAAGAGCUGUAAGAAGAAAGUUUUAAGAGGGAAGUUCAUGUUCAAGGUGAGAUGUGUGUCUUCUGAAUCAAGUCAGUGAAUAGUACUUAAUAACUAAGAGCUGCAGAACUAGCCAACGUAACCAAUACCAUAGGAAUAUAAGGAAUAACCUUCUUUAACCCACCCCCAACUUUAUUAACUACAUGCCUAUUAUUGAUAAUAGGACUUUUUUAUAAUUCUAUUUUUAAUAAUAUUCCUUAGAAAUUCACUUGUUAAAAGAAUAAAAAGCAUGCAUUUUUAUCUGCAUUUGAACAUUUUAUAGAAGUUACCUUUUAUAAAAUUUCCCUUUUAUUCCCUUGCAAGUUAAGUCAUUUUUUUUUUUAAUUGCGUUUUAAAAACACUUUAAUUGUCUUCAAAUUAUCUGUAUUGUGAUGCUACAAGGAGAUAGAAGACAUUUAAUGUCUUAUACGGUGUAAAUCAAGUACUUAAAAAACUCACAUAAAAGACAAAACAGUCAAAUAACCGAGCCUUCAUUAUGCGGUACUGUAGUUGCAUAUUCACGUAGCAUAAACAUUUACAGUAACUGGGUUAUUCUCAGAUGAAAAUCAAAUCUAUUUCAAUUCAGACAAUUUCUCUGCAUUAGGAGAACGAAUAAAUUAAAAUUGUGCUUCAGCAAUUUGCUCUUCCCAAGCAGCUAUCCUGCAAGCUCCACAGAGGAUGUCAAAACCUGCUGAUAUCUAGCAGAGUCAACUCCAAGUUUGUGUAUCCUGGUCCACUCUACCUUUCCAUCAGGCAGUACAUGUGGAAAUGGAAAAGUAGCUCUCUAAUUAAUCAAAGUCAGAUCUGCCUGAACGCCUGGAGUUGCUGCUGAUCCUUGUCCCAGCUUCUACCAUGUUCUCUCUCUAUGUUUUUUACCUUGAAAACUUCUGCUCUGAGCUGGGAAUGCCUGAAGGGCUUGCACGAACAAGGGAGAAUGAGGGAAGAGAAGGAAAGAACUGAAAAAGUGCAAAAAGAAAGGAGGGAAGGAAGGAUACCCCUGUAUGUCACAUCCACCGUGUCCCAGUUGGGCUCUGGCACCUCUACAGUGACCAGAUGUGAUGAGAUGGCUCAGGCCAGCAAGGAUUGCUUUGAGAAACUCUGGAAGGAAAGAGAAGACACUUGGAGGAAUGUAUCAUAGAACUGAUUUACAUUAAAAACUAUUACUCACACAUUUCUCCAUUUUCUGCUAG